rnacentral:SRP_RNA from 1 species
GCUGGGCGUGGUGGCUCAUGCCUGUAAUCCCAGCACCUUGGGAGGCCGAGGUGGGUGGAUCACCUGAGGUCAGGAGUUCGAGACCAGCCUGGCCAACAUGGUGAAACCCCGUCUCUA